rnacentral:rRNA from 1 species
ACGGCGAGUGAAGCGGCAAAAGCUCAAAUUUGAAAUCUGGCGUCUUCGACGUCCGAGUUGUAAUUUGAAGAAGGCAACUUUGUAGCUGGUCCUUGUCUAUGUUCCUUGGAACAGGACGUCAUAGAGGGUGAGAAUCCCGUGUGGCGAGGAUCCCAGUUAUUUGUAAAGUGCUUUCGACGAGUCGAGUUGUUUGGGAAUGCAGCUCUAAGUGGGUGGUAAAUUCCAUCUAAAGCUAAAUAUUGGCGAGAGACCGAUAGCGAACAAGUACAGUGAUGGAAAGAUGAAAAGAACUUUGAAAAGAGAGUGAAAAAGUACGUGAAAUUGUUGAAAGGGAAGGGCAUUUGAUCAGACAUGGCGUUUGCUUCGGCUUUCGCUGGGCCAGCAUCAGUUUUAGCGGUUGGAUAAAUCCUCGGGAAUGUGGCUCUGCUUCGGUAGAGUGUUAUAGCCCGUGGGAAUACAGCCAGCUGGGACUGAGGAUUGCGACUUUUGUCAAGGAUGCUGGCGUAAUGGUUAAAUGCCGCCCGUCUU